rnacentral:ribozyme from 1 species
GUUAAUUUUGCUCUACAAAUGAAGUUAGGAUUUAAAGCUACAAGCUAAUAUAGACUCUCUCCUAACUCCAACCCGUCGCGUCCUCGCGGGACUAAUAAGUUGUGAUCGUGUAGAGUGAUACCAUGCCCCUCGAAUGUCUGCGCUUGGCUCAAAGGGUACCACCAACCCCUUGGGAGGAUGGAGAUAUGGCUGAGAUGAGAGUA